GUGCCAGCAGCCGCGGUAACACCAGCCCCUCGAGUGGUGGGGACGUUUAUUUGGCCUAAAGCGUCCGUAGCCGGCCGGGUAAGUCUCCCGUUAAAUCCAGCGUCUCAAGCGUUGGGCUGCGGGAGAUACUGUCCGGCUAGAGAGUGGGAGAGGUCAGCGGUAUUCCUGGGGUAGGGGCGAAAUCCUUUGAUCCCAGGAGGACCACCAGUGGCGAAGGCUGCUGACUAGAACACGUCUGACGGUCAGGGUCGAAAGCUGGGGUAGCGAACCGGAUUAGAUACCCGGGUAGUCCCAGCCGUAAACGAUGCAUGCUAGGUGUUGGGUUGGCCACGAGCCACCCCAGUGCCGCAGGGAAGCCAUUAAGCCCGCCGCCUGGGGAGUACGGCCGCAAGGCUGAAACUUAAAUGAAUUGGCGGGG
rnacentral:rRNA from 1 species